AGAGUUUGAUCAUGGCUCAGGAUGAACGCUGGCGGCGUGCUUAAUACAUGCAAGUCGAACGAAGACAGUAGCAAUAUUGUCUGAGUGGCGAACGGGUGAGUAACGCGUUGGUGACCUGCCCCGAAGAGAGGGAUAACMRUYCSRAARGGAUUGCUAAUACCCCAUGUGGUCGUUUGGAUUAGAUGCCUUAUGACUAAACGGAUUUAUUCGCUUCGGGAGGGGCCUGCGUCCCAUCAGCUAGUUGGUAAGGUAAUGGCUUACCAAGGCGAUGACGGGUAGGGGACCUGAGAGGGUGGCCCCCCACAAUGGAACUGAAACACGGUCCAUACACCUACSGGUGGCAGCAGUAGGGAAUAUUGGUAAAUCUGGGAAACCGGGAACCAGCAACGCCGCGUGCACGAUGAAGGCCUUCGGGUUGUAAAGUGCUUUUUGAAAGGAUGAGGAAGGACAGUACUUUCAGAAUAAGCUUCGGCUAACUACGUGCCAGCCGCCGCGGUAAUUCA
rnacentral:rRNA from 1 species